rnacentral:rRNA from 1 species
UACGUAGGGUGCAAGCGUUGUCCGGAAUUAUUGGGCGUAAAGCGCGCGUAGGCGGCCACACACGUCGGUUGUGAAAGCUCGGAGCUCAACUCUGAGAGGCCUUCCGAUACGGUGUGGCUAGAGGUAGGUAGGGGAGAGCGGAAUUCCUGGUGUAGCGGUGAAAUGCGCAGAUAUCAGGAGGAACACCGAUGGCGAAGGCAGGUCUCUGGGCCGAUACUGACGCUGAGGAGCGAAAGCGUGGGGAGCGAACAGG